rnacentral:rRNA from 1 species
UCCUACGGGAGGCAGCAGUGGGGAAUUUUGGACAAUGGGCGAAAGCCUGAUCCAGCAAUGCCGCGUGUGUGAAGAAGGCCUUCGGGUUGUAAAGCACUUUUGUCCGGAAAGAAAUGGCUCUGGUUAAUACCUGGGGUCGAUGACGGUACCGGAAGAAUAAGGACCGGCUAACUACGUGCCAGCAGCCGCGGUAAUACGUAGGGUCCAAGCGUUAAUCGGAAUUACUGGGCGUAAAGCGUGCGCAGGCGGUUGUGCAAGACCGAUGUGAAAUCCCCGAGCUUAACUUGGGAAUUGCAUUGGUGACUGCACGGCUAGAGUGUGUCAGAGGGGGGUAGAAUUCCACGUGUAGCAGUGAAAUGCGUAGAGAUGUGGAGGAAUACCGAUGGCGAAGGCAGCCCCCUGGGAUGACACUGACGCUCAUGCACGAAAGCGUGGGGAGCAAACAGGAUUAGAUACCCUGGUAGUCCACGCCCUAAACGAUGUCAACUAGUUGUUGGGGAUUCAUUUCCUUAGUAACGUAGCUAACGCGUGAAGUUGACCGCCUGGGGAGUACGGUCGCAAGAUUAAAACUCAAAGGAAUUGACGG